rnacentral:misc_RNA from 1 species
GAUGAAGAACGUAGCGAAAUGCGAUAAGUAGUGUGAAUUGCAGAAUUCAGUGAAUCAUCGAAUCUUUGAACGCACAUUGCGCCCCUUGGUAUUCCGAGGGGCAUGCCUGUUCGAGCGUCAUUUCAACCCCUCAAGCUUCGGCUUGGUGUUGGGCCGCGCCGCUGCACCAGCAGCUGGCGGGCCUCAAAAUCAGUGGCGGUGCCGUCUCGGCUCUAAGCGUAGUAACAUCUCUCGCUCUGGAGACCUGGCGGUGGCUUGCCAGACAACCCCCAACUUUCUUUAAGGUUUGACCUCGGAUCAGGUAGGGAUACCCGCUGAACUUAAGCAUAUCAAUAAGCGGAGGA